ACACAUUGCACUGUUAGACAAAAGUAUCAUCUCACACAAGUUGAACUUAAGUUUGUUAAGUGAUUAUUUUUUGCUCUCUUAAAAAUGAAUAUUUUCUUUUUAAAAAGGGAAGUAUUAUAGAAACUUAGUACCAUGUAUUUAAUGUUUCCCAUUGAUACUGAUUGUGUUGUGAUAAGAUUUAAAGUACAUAUGCAAAAAUAUGUAUAAUAUGCACAUGUUUUAAUUUUUUUUUCUUAAGUUUUUUUCUAGACACAGUAGUUAGAGAAAUAAUUGUUUUCCUUUCUCUUGAAGAUUUUUGUUUUGAUGGUCUUGAAAUAACUUGUUCUGAAUUUUUAGGAGAAAAUUUGUAAAACCAAAUUGACUUCUUUAAAAAUUUUGUUCACCUGAAAAUUGUACACAUAAAAUCAAUAAAGUUUCAGGAAUUUGAAUUU
rnacentral:misc_RNA from 1 species